rnacentral:rRNA from 1 species
UGCAGUCGAGCGGACAGAAGGGAGCUUGCUCCCGGAUGUUAGCGGCGGACGGGUGAGUAACACGUGGGUAACCUGCCUGUAAGACUGGGAUAACUCCGGGAAACCGGAGCUAAUACCGGAUAGUUCCUUGAACCGCAUGGUUCAAGGAUGAAAGACGGUUUCGGCUGUCACUUACAGAUGGACCCGCGGCGCAUUAGCUAGUUGGUGAGGUAACGGCUCACCAAGGCGACGAUGCGUAGCCGACCUGAGAGGGUGAUCGGCCACACUGGGACUGAGACACGGCCCAGACUCCUACGGGAGGCAGCAGUAGGGAAUCUUCCGCAAUGGACGAAAGUCUGACGGAGCAACGCCGCGUGAGUGAUGAAGGUUUUCGGAUCGUAAAGCUCUGUUGUUAGGGAAGAACAAGUGCAAGAGUAACUGCUUGCACCUUGACGGUACCUAACCAGAAAGCCACGGCUAACUACGUGCCAGCAGCCGCGGUAAUACGUAGGUGGCAAGCGUUGUCCGGAAUUAUUGGGCGUAAAGGGCUCGCAGGCGGUUUCUUAAGUCUGAUGUGAAAGCCCCCGGCUCAACCGGGGAGGGUCAUUGGAAACUGGGAAACUUGAGUGCAGAAGAGGAGAGUGGAAUUCCACGUGUAGCGGUGAAAUGCGUAGAGAUGUGGAGGAACACCAGUGGCGAAGGCGACUCUCUGGUCUGUAACUGACGCUGAGGAGCGAAAGCGUGGGGAGCGAACAGGAUUAGAUACCCUGGUAGUCCACGCCGUAAACGAUGAGUGCUAAGUGUUAGGGGGUUUCCGCCCCUUAGUGCUGCAGCUAACGCAUUAAGCACUCCGCCUGGGGAGUACGGUCGCAAGACUGAAACUCAAAGGAAUUGACGGGGGCCCGC